rnacentral:rRNA from 1 species
GACGAACGCUGGCGGCGUGCUUAACACAUGCAAGUCGAACGGAAAGGCCCUGCUUUUGUGGGGUGCUCGAGUGGCGAACGGGCGAGUAACACGUGAGUAACCUGCCCCUGACUUUGGGAUAACUUCAGGAAACUGGGGCUAAUACCGGAUAGGAGCUCCUGCUGCAUGGUGGGGGUUGGAAAGUUUGGGCGGUUGGGGAUGGACGCGCGGCUUAUCAGCUUGUUGGUGGGGUAGUGGCUUACCAAGGCUCUGACUGGUAGCGGGCCUGAGAGGGUGACCAGCCACAUUGACACUGAGCUACGGCCCAGAGGCGAGCGGGGGGAAACAGUGAGGAAUAUUGCACAAUGGGGCGAAGCCUGAUGCAGCAACGACGCAUGCGGAAAGACGGCCUUCGAGUAGUAGACCGAUUUCGCCUGUGACGAAACCUGGGUGACGGUAAUGGGUAAAGGAACAGCGACUAACUACAUG